rnacentral:miRNA from 1 species
AGUGCUGCUAGCAACUACAAG